rnacentral:rRNA from 1 species
GAUGAACGCUAGCGGAAGGCCUAAUACAUGCAAGUCGAACGGGCAUAUUGAUUUCGGUUAAUAUGUUAGUGGCGCACGGGUGAGUAACGCGUACACAACCUACCUUAUAUUGGGGGAUAGCCCCUGGGAAACUGGGAGUAAUACCGCAUAACAUUAUAGAGAGGCAUCUUUUUAUAAUAAAGCAUUUGCGAUAUAAGAUGGGUGUGCGUCUGAUUAGGUAGUUGGUAGGGUAACGGCCUACCAAGCCGACGAUCAGUAGGGGGUGUGAGAGCAUGGCCCCCCACACGGGUACGUGAGACACGGACCGACUCUACGGGAGGCAGC